rnacentral:rRNA from 1 species
GGACUACUGGGGUAUCUAAUCCCAUUCGCUACCCACGCUUUCGUGUUUCAGUGUCAGGAGUGGCCCAAUCGACUGCCUUCGCUUUCGGUGUUCCCCAUGAUAUCAACGGAUUUCACCCCUACUCCAUGAGUUCCAUCGAUCCCUGCCAUCCUCAAGUCUAUGCCGUUUCAAUCGCGAUUCCGAGGUUAAGCCUCGGGUUUUAACAACUGACUAACAUAACCACCUACACACCCUUUACGCCCAAUGAUUCCGGAUAACGCUUGGGGCACUCGUAUUACCGCGGCUGCUGGCAC